rnacentral:tRNA from 1 species
UGCCGGGUCGUCUAACGGUAGGACAUCAGAUUUUGGAUCUGAGUAUCGGGGUUCGAUUCCCUGCCCGGCAG